CAGCCUUGCACAGCAGAACUGUACCAUCUUACACUGGUCAGAAACCUGACCAGUAUAGGUUCAUUACCCAGUCCUCCACCCCUUGAUGUGGAGAGGACACACACUAGCCUUUGGGCAUAAGCUUUCGUGCGCUACAGCUCACUUCAUCGGAUGCAU